GUUGUCACCUGGCACAGGAGACACUGUGAUCACGAAGGCGGUUCUCCCAGGGCGAGGUUUGCCAUUGCACUCCGGCAGUGCUGACCCCUGCGAUUAACCUAAAUGUGGUUAACUCAAGUGCGAAAUUUUUGUCAAAUAUGUGUACGACACAUAUUUGAC